GAGCUUGCUUCUCUGGAUGAGUUGCGAACGGGUGAGUAACGCGUAGGUAACCUGCCUGGUAGCGGGGGAUAACUAUUGGAAACGAUAGCUAAUACCGCAUAAAAUUGAUUAUUGCAUGAUAUUCGAUUAAAAGGUGCAAUUGCAUCACUACCAGAUGGACCUGCGUUGUAUUAGCUAGUUGGUGAGGUAACGGCUCACCAAGGCGACGAUACAUAGCCGACCUGAGAGGGUGAUCGGCCACACUGGGACUGAGACACGGCCCAGACACCUACGGGAGGCAGCAGUAGGGAAUCUUCGGCAAUGGACGGAAGUCUGACCGAGCAACGCCGCGUGAGUGAAGAAGGUUUUCGGAUCGUAAAGCUCUGUUGUAAGAGAAGAACGAGUGUGAGAGUGGAAAGUUCACACUGUGACGGUAUCUUACCAGAAAGGGACGGCUAACUACGUGCCAGCAGCCGCGGUAAUACGUAGGUCCCGAGCGUUGUCCGGAUUUAUUGGGCGUAAAGCGAGCGCAGGCGGUUAGAUAAGUCUGAAGUUAAAGGCUGUGGCUUAACCAUAGUACGCUUUGGAAACUGUUUAACUUGAGUGCAAGAGGGGAGAGUGGAAAUCCAUGGGUA
rnacentral:rRNA from 1 species